rnacentral:rRNA from 1 species
UACGUAGGGUGCGAGCGUUAAUCGGAAUUACUGGGCGUAAAGCGUGCGCAGGCGGUUCGGUGUGUCGGCGGUGAAAGCCCCGGGCUUAACCUGGGAAUGGCCGUUGAAACUUGCGAACUGGAGUGUGGCAGAGGGGGGUGGAAUUCCGCGUGUAGCAGUGAAAUGCGUAGAGAUGCGGAGGAACACCGAUGGCGAAGGCAGCCCCCUGGGCCAAUACUGACGCUCAUGCACGAAAGCGUGGGGAGCAAACAGG